GCCCUGGUGCUGAAAUUUGGUAUACAGGCUGGCUUGAGGUGCCAGUGCCGCAAGGCGCGGAGGUUCAAGUCCUCUCCAGGGCA
rnacentral:tRNA from 1 species